CCUACGGGUGGCAGCAGUAGGGAAUAUUGCUCAAUGGGGGAAACCCUGAAGCAGCAACGCCGCGUGGAGGAUGAAGGUUUUCGGAUUGUAAACUCCUUUUGUUAGAGAAGAUAAUGACGGUAUCUAACGAAUAAGCACCGGCUCAAUCCGUGCCAGCAGCCGCGGUAAUAUGGAGGGUGCAAGCGUUACUCGGAAUCACUGGGCGUAAAGAGCGCGUAGGCGGGAUAGCAAGUCAGAAGUGAAAUCCUAUGGCUUAACCAUAGAACUGCAUUUGAAACUGUUAUUCUAGAGUAAGGGAGAAGUAGGGGGAAUUCUGGAGGGAGGGGGAAAAUCCGUAGAGAUCAAGAGGAAUACUCAUUGCGAAGGCGACCUGCUAAAGCAAAGCUGACGCUGAUGCGCGAAAGCGUGGGGAGCAAACAGGAAUAGAUACCCCUAGUAGUC
rnacentral:rRNA from 1 species